CAGAUGGAGAAAGUGAGCUCAAAGAAACAACAUUCCCAAGGUCAUAAUGGUAUUACGGUUAGAAUUCCACUCAGUCUGUGACAUAUUUUUCCAGCUCAUAAGAAGGAACUGGACACAAAGGUAGCAGGGAGAAGAGGUCAGUUCUUUCUCUCUGCGUGGAACGGGCAGUGGCUAUCACGGAGCAACAGUUCAUUGGGAAAGGAAAGGGGAGGGAGGAGGCUCAGGGAUGGUCCUAUAUCAGCCUGUGCCUUGUAGGGGUUCAACCAUGCAACCCCAACCGCGUUCCUUUGCUUUUAAGUCGAACCAGUAGAGCGUUUUGUUUCAAACUACGUACAUCCUUUGUCCUUUACAAUAUCCCGUGCUAGAACCCCUUAAAAAUCAGUUAUUUAGAUGAGAAAGUCGAGCCCUGUACCUGGAGAGGCCAGUUCUGUAUAGCGGAAAAAAUGAAACUGGGGACAGGCUGACCAGAUAUCAGAGGCCCCAGGGCUGGUGAUGAACUCCUGUUUGCCAAACCUAACACCUCACCCUCCGGCCAACCCCCACGCCCUCUCAAGCUUGGAUGCUGUUCCCAUCCGACCACUGCCUUUGGCUCACACCAGAGUUCUGCAGAGAUGUCACCGCGAGGACACCCAAACAGGCUGCAGGGAAAAGAAAACUGUGAAUUCAGGCAGGCUAGGGCAAACUCAUCAUCAGGAAAAGAGCUGCAGAUUGCAAAUUAAACCAAAUGAUGCCCAGAGAUCACAGAAUUUUAAAUGGAAACCUAUGGGGAAAGAUUCAAAGAUUUCAUGUAAACAAAUUUUCUUGGUAAAUAAAGUUCCAUUUGUUUCCAUAACCACUCCCUCCCCAGUAAAUGAAUAAUAAAAUGUCUAAAGUUUA